UUUGUUUCCCAAGUUGACAUGACUUACAAUCUAAAGAAGACAAAGAAGAAAGACUAGGUACUAGUAAAGACUAGGUACUAAUUUUUGAGGUUUGGCAAUACUUGGAUAACCCAGGUGGCUAUGGAGAAGAUCCACAGAUGCAGCGGAAGUGAGAGCAACUGGUAAUUUUGAAAUGGAUAGACGAUACAGUCCUUGUGAAUCAUAUCCUGUUCCAAUCGUUUUCCUCGUACUUCGGUCCAGAGUGUGAGGUACCAGAUGAGGAUGACUGUUGUUUAGUAGCUUGAUACUGCAAGUACUCAUUGUAGUUAGUUCCAGUUAGGACAAUGGAAUCAGACUGUUGAUCGUUUGCUUUAGGUAAGGGAAGAAGUCCAUCCCCAUGAGUUUGUGCUACAUUAGCUGCAUGACGAUUUGUGUUGAAUUGAUUAUUAUUGCGUGGUGGUCGGCCAUGCAAUGCCCAACAAGUAUCUCGAGUGUGGCCAUUUUUGUCACAGUAAGUACAAUGAGAUUUAAAGCCCUUUCCUUUUCCUUUUCGAGAACCUCCCUGUCUGUGCUGAUUUCCAAUCUGCACAGCUAGCACAGAUGUUUCAAUUUCAUUACUACCAUUCGCAUUUAAGGAAAUGCGUAGCAAUCGAGCAGAGACAUCUUCCAGAGAAGGAAUCACAGAACUCAUCAAUAUUUGAUUCUGUACAGAACUAAGAUCAGAUCGAAGUCCUAUCAAAGUCAAAACCAUAGAGAACUUGUCCCGCUGUUGUUCCUGCACAGUGAUGCUAUCAGAGAACGGCAUUAGAGAAUUAAAAUCAUCCUUCAGUGUUUCUAUUUGCCCUAAAUAACUUGCCAUAUCUUGGUGAUUUUGUUGGAGAUGGACAAUAUCUGAAACAACUUUAUAUAUACAUUGCAUGACAUUAGUAUAUAAAGUUUUAGCCUUUGUACAUAUCUUGCAAGUCUUACAGGACUGAAAUAAGACAAGUAAUUUAGGGUCCAAAGAAUGUCAUAAAAGGCUACAUAACUGUGCAUCUACCUUGUUCCAACUAGUUCUAUCAUCAACAACAAUAUCACUAGCAUUCUUGACUAGAUGUUCAUUAUAACCUUGCACAUAAACUACAAUUCUACUAAAGCUGACCAUGACAUAUAAUUAUUGCUGCCUUGCAAAUUAAUGGUAGUAAUUGUUGGAGAAUUGAAAAUAGAAGAAAAACUUGGCUUAGAGUCACCUGAAUUGGAGGAAUUACCCAUUUCAGUCAUGUUGAUUGCUCCUAAAACCUUCAAACAAAUCCAAAAAUAGUGUUGGAUGUCUUGAAGAACAAACCCAAAGGCUACUGUCUCUUGGUGGAGGGAGAUCGGAAGAAGACCCGAAGAUGGUGUAGGGUUAGGAAGAGUCGUCAAUCAGGGGCGAGUUGGCCGGUGUUGGAUCUAGCAAAAACGGUCACUGGAUUAUCCCUCAGGCAUCGGCGCGUGUGAAGAUAGCGGAGGUGCGUCGACGGUGCGUGGCGGCUUCUGGCAAGGGUUCCAGCAUUGGUCUUCUAAGGACUGAGUUGCCGGCGGUCAGUGAAUCCUUUUAGGUAGGUGGUAUAGUCCACCUCCUUCUGGUAGAUCGCCAACUAGAACGGCAGUGCCGUUUGUUCUUCAGGCACAGAUAAGAGAUGAAAUCAAAGAAAAAAUCAAGCCCUCUUUAGGCUCUGAUACCAUAAAAGAGUUUUAGAAAGAUGAAAAAGAUUAUGAUUUUGAGAGUUAAAAUCUAUGCAUUUCAUUUAACUUCUACACACACACACACAAAGUAGUACACUCCUAUUAGACUUAGGAAUUGUGUUCCUAUUAUACUACUCAAGCUUUAACAGAUAAGGAGAUAAGGGAUAUCUCAAGCUAUGAAGUAUGAACAGUAAUCAUUAAUUGUAAAUUAAAGGUUUAGUUAUCAUACCCUAGGUCUAAAACCACACCAAGGGGGUUGGAUUACAUUUUACAAUCCAAACAAAGCAUAACUGCUAGAAAUUUAUUCAAUAACAAAAACUGAUUGAUAAACAUGUAAGCAAGGUACUUAACUAUUUAUAGACUCAAAACUAAUCUUAAACCUUAAAAACCUUACUAGUCCUAAUUGUCUAAGGAUUUGAACUCUUAUAGGAAAGUAAAAUGAUUAAUGUUUUUCUAGAUCACUAGGGACUUAAAUAUGACUAAGAAAUAAAUCCUAAAUACAUUUAACCAGCUGUUCUAGCAAUUCCGAGAAUUACAAAAAUACUGCUAAAUUUUGAAGCUGUAAAUACCGAG
rnacentral:misc_RNA from 1 species